GCAAUUCUUUAUGUUCUUAUUAUGUAAAACAAUAAGCCAGGCUCCCUGAAGAAGACAGUGUCUUGUCUGAUUGCGUUUUUCAUGAGCACCUUACAGUCUAUUUCAUAUGCAGUUAGUGAAUAAACAGGGCUGUUUAUGAAAAAUUCUGUUCAUGAUGCCAGUAGAUUGCAUCUGAGGCAUUUUCAGUGGUAAAACAAUUUGCACUGCAGAUAUAUGUUUAUGGGAAAUUAGCGGAAUGGUAGAGCUUAAUGCAUAAAAGUGGAGAAUUAAUGUAAAAUAAGUAGGGGUACUGAAGCCACACUUUCUAGUAAUCCUUUUAAAUCUGUAUUUCAUCCAGAAAGCUUUUAUUUUAAAACCAAUUUAAAAAGUCAAUAAUUAUUAAAUAUGCAGAGACAUUUGUGUGCUUCCUGCUUUGUAGCAUUUUAUUUGACAUGCUUCCAAAUUAGGCUAUUAGUGUUUUGUUUGUUUGUUUGUUUGUUGCAUCUAUAGGGAUCUGGGUGAUGUUGAAACCUAUUACACUGGACUCCCAGAAGGUAGUGCUUUUCCUACGCUCAUAGAGAGGUUGUGUGACAGCAUAACCAACCCUAUUCCUUGACUGGGCCCUUGAGGAACCAAAUGAAGAGCAAGCUCUCUGCUGCCAGGGUUUCCCAAUGCCAGAAUUCCACCAUCACUGCCCUGGUCCCUCCUACCAUCUGGCCCAGUCAUUAAACCUAUGCCUGCCCUUUCCAGGAUAUUUAUUUCCUUUUCUCUUCUCUGCUAGGAGAGCCCCGCAUGUGGGCUGCAGUCUCCCUCGCUGCUUCCUCUUGGAUGGAUUUCAUUUUGCCUGCUUCCCACCUUGACAUUUUGACAAACCAGCAAUGGCCCAGAAUUGUUCCUAUGCUCUUUUCCCUGAGCUCAUGCCCACCCCUGUGAUUGAUAGGACUGGCUUUUAGCUUGGCAAGGUGAUCCUUUUUUAAGGGCAUGUCCAGAGGGAGCACAUAGUGACCUCACUCUGGCCAGGACAUUGCUGGGUACAGAAUAUAACUCCUUGGUGUUUGGCCUCCUGAGUCACUCAUUCAUUACAUAAAGUCUUUAUCUUCGUGCAUAUCCUGGAACAAUACUCUUAAAUAAAUACUCUCGGAGGCAUUUUACUCCAUGGCUAUUUACUUUGCAUUUCCAUGAUCUCAAUGGAACACAGAAAGGGAGGAGGUAGAAGGCUUGGCAAACAAUCAUUUGCCACCAUCUACGCACAAGGGG
rnacentral:lncRNA from 1 species